AUUGAACGCUGGCGGCAUGCCUUACACAUGCAAGUCGAACGGCAGCGCGGGUGCUUGCACCUGGCGGCGAGUGGCGAACGGGUGAGUAAUACAUCGGGACGUGCCCUAGAGUGGGGGAUAACUAGUCGAAAGAUUAGCUAAUGCCGCAUACGAUCUAAGGAUGCAAGGGGGGGACAGGAAGGCCUCAUUCUCAUGGAGCGGCCGAUGACUGAUUAGCUAGUUGGUGGGGUAAUAGCCUACCAAGGCGACGAUCAGUAGCUGGUCUGAGAGGACGACCAGCAACACUGGGACUGAGACACGGCCCAGACUCCUACGGGAGGCAGCAGUGGGGAAUUUUGGACAAUGGGGGCAACCCUGAUCCAGCAAUGCCGCGUGUGUGAAGAAGGCCUUCGGGUUGUAAAGCACUUUUGUCAGGAACGAAACGGUGGGGGCUAAUACCUCCUGCUAAUGACGGUACCUGAAGAAUAAGCACCGGCUAACUACGUGCCAGCCGCCGCCGUAA
rnacentral:rRNA from 1 species